UCUAGGCACCCAGACCACUUCAGCUUAAUGAAGUGGUCUGGGUGCCAGGUCCAGCUAGGGUUAACCCAUUUUUUCAUAAACAUAGCAGUUUCAGAGAAACUGCUGUUUAUUAAUGGGUUAAGCCUUCCCCCUAAUCCUCUAGUGGCUGUCUCAUUGACAGCCACUAGAGGCGCUUGCGUGCUUCUCACUGUGAUUUUCACAGUGAGAGCACGCAAGCGUCCAUAGGAAAGCAUUAUGAAUGCUUUCCCAUGUGACCGGCUGAAUGCGCGCGCAGCUUUUGCCGCGCGUGCGCAUUCAGCCCAGGAGGAGGA